UACGUAGGGACCAAGCGUUGUUCGGAUUUACUGGGCGUAAAGGGCGCGUAGGCGGCGUGACAAGUCACUUGUGAAAUCUCCGGGCUUAACUCGGAACGGUCAAGUGAUACUGUUGUGCUAGAGUACAGAAGGGGCAAUCGGAAUUCUUGGUGUAGCGGUGAAAUGCGUAGAUAUCAAGAGGAACACCAGAGGCGAAGGCGGAUUGCUAGGCUGAUACUGACGCUGAGGCGCGAAAGCUAGGGUAGCAAACGGG
rnacentral:rRNA from 1 species